rnacentral:tRNA from 1 species
GAGGGUACAGCCCAGUGGUAGGGCGCGUGCUUAGAGUGCAUGAGGUCCUGGGGUCAAUCCCCAGUACCUCCA